GUCUGCUUGUACUACAUAAGCAAGAUGAUUUGGGUCUCAUGCUGGUGUGUGAAAUAUGCCUUCCUCAAACCUUGUUACUAUGUUGGCACAUUAUCAGUCUGACA
ensembl:snoRNA